GGCUCUUUGGUCUAGGGGUAUGAUUCUCGCUUCGGGUGUGAGAUGUCCGGGUUCAAAUCCCGGAUGAUCCC
rnacentral:tRNA from 1 species